GCUGCAACAGUGAUGUGACACCACCUAUAUAAUUGGCCCGUGUACCGAUUCAGGGGGCCGACGCAUGAUCCAUGUGAAUAUGAUGAAGCCCUACGUGGAGCGCUCUGAAGAGGUGACGGCCAUUUGUGCGCCUACCUCUGAAGAGUUUGACAACCUUCCCCUCCCAGACUUGCUGGGGGAUGGAAAGUUGUCUAAUGACAUAGACGAAGUCCAGCUGGGGGAGCGG